rnacentral:lncRNA from 10 species
AUGUAAAGGAAAUGGCUGAGCAGCAGCUGCAAACAAUUACUAAGCAUUUUCAAUGGUCUUGUGAAAUGCUAUGAAUUCAGAGCAUCACUUCAGAAACCCCGAUUGCAUCCCUCAGAAAAAGUGCCCAGCCACCGGGCCAAACCCUCUUAUGCCUCUCCUUGGCAAGGUUUGAGGAUCCAGCUUUUAUGUAGGCCCUGUCUUCUGACACCCUAAAAUAAAUAGUCCUCUUUUUCUUCUUCUGGACCCCUCUCUCUCCUUAACUCACUUUAAUUUUAUCUUCCAGAAUGUGUUUCUUACGAUUCCUUUAGUUUUAGCACAUCACAGUUCAUAAAUGCCCAAAACUGGCUGCUGGAGAACCACAACCCCUUUCUGCACAUGCAUGAGGAAAUUUUCCUUUAGGCCCUGAAAGCAAAGUCCUGUCCAACUCAAGCAAGCUAAUUGUGAGAUGCUGCCCGUAUGAACUUUCCUAUUAUUGCACUAGAGAUUCCUGAGUUUUAGUCAACUUGAAAAGAGAUUUUUUUUUUUUCUGAAGGAAUGUAACUCCUUAGACUAACAUAUGAAAUCCAAAACAUAAAAUGCAACUGAAAUAUACAUAGUAAACUAUGGUUGCCACAGUCACCUUUAACUUGUGUUCUGAGAGAAAAGGGUUCCUGGGUAACUGUGAGUGGAAGGAGUUGGAGACCUGAAAGAAAUAUCAGUGAUGUAACCAAAGAGUGGCUGGAAACGGAUGGCAUCCUGGCCUGGUCAAAAACACCACACUAGGCUAUUGAUUACACAGUGGCCUCAAGUCACAACCUAGGGACCAGGGAAGGUCAGCAAUUAUGGACCUGUGUAGCCAUUUGUUAACAAUUUACUUUUCUGUCAUUGCCACAGUGAAAGAAUAACUCUGCACUGUUAUUAUUCAACAAAACUAAGCCAGAAUAUCAUGAGCAGAGAACUGGUAACAGCAUUAGAAAAGACAUCUCAAUUUUUCUUCUUCUAUAUACAUAUAUAGAAGACAUACAUGUAUAUAAACAUACAUACAUAUCUAUCUAUCUAUCUAUCUAUCUAUCUAUCUAUCUAUCUAUCUAUCUGAAAGGAAGAAAUUGUUGGAUAAAAUACAAACGCUCCUCUGACUGCCACAAAGUCAGGUGUCCUAUGUGUAGGAGUCUUGUGAAUUUCCUUUUCUCUGUAACUCCAAAACAAAAUAAACUGUUCUGAUG